UCGCGGCUUAUCACCGGCAGUCUCCUUAGAGUGCUCAACUAAAUGGUAGCAACUAAGGACGGGGGUUGCGCUCGUUGCGGGACUUAACCCACCAUCUCACGACACGAGCUGACGACAGCCAUGCAGCACCUGUGUUCCGGCCUAUUGCUAGGAGGAAUCCAUCUCUGGAAACCUUCCGGACAUGUCAAGAGCUGGUAAGGUUCUUCGCGUUGCGUCGAAUUAAACCACAUGCUCCACCGCUUGUGCGGGCCCCCGUCAAUUCCUUUGAGUUUUAACCUUGCGGCCGUACUCCCCAGGCGGGAUGCUUAAAGCGUUAGCUGCGCCACUAGUGAGUAAACCCACUAACGGCUGGCAUUCAUCGUUUACGGCGUGGACUAC
rnacentral:misc_RNA from 1 species